UGGGGGAUAUUGCGCAAUGGGGGCAACCCUGACGCAGCAACGCCGCGUGAAGGAUGAAGGUUUUCGGAUUGUAAACUUCUUUUAUUAAGGACGAAAAAUGACGGUACUUAAUGAAUAAGCUCCGGCUAACUACGUGCCAGCAGCCGCGGUAAUACGUAGGGAGCAAGCGUUGUCCGGAUUUACUGGGUGUAAAGGGUGCGUAGGCGGCUUUGCAAGUUAGAUGUGAAAUCCAUGGGCUCAACCCGUGAAUUGCUUUCAAAACUGCUGGCCUUGAGUAGUGCAGAGGUAGGUGGAAUUCCCGGUGUAGCGGUGGAAUGCGUAGAUAUCGGGAGGAACACCAGUGGCGAAGGCGACCUACUGGGCACCAACUGACGCUGAGGCUCGAAAGCAUGGGUAGCAAACAGGAUUAGAUACCCUGGUAGUCCAUGCCGUAAACGAUGAUUACUAGGUGUUGGAGGAUUGACCCCUUCAGUGCCGCAGUUAACACAAUAAGUAAUCCACCUGGGGAGUACGACCGCAAGGUUGAAACUCAAAGGAAUUGACGGGGGCCCGCACAAGCAGUGGAGUAUGUGGUUUAAUUCGAAGCAACGCGAAGAACCUUACCAGGUCUUGACAUCCGAUGCAUAGUGCAGAGAUGCAUGAAGUCCUUCGGGACAUCGAGACGGGUGGUGCAUGGUUGUCGUCAGCUCGUGUCGUGAGAUGUUGGGUUAAGUCCCGCAACGAGCGCAACCCUUAUUGCCAGUUACUACGCAAGAGGACUCUGGCGAGACUGCCGUUGACAAAACGGAGGAAGGUGGGGAUGACGUCAAAUCAUCAUGCCCUUUAUGACCUGGGCUACACACGUACUACAAUGGCGUUUAACAAAGAGAAGCAAGACCGCGAGGUGGAGCAAAACUCAGAAACAACGUCUCAGUUCAGAUUGCAGGCUGCAACUCGCCUGCAUGAAGUCGGAAUUGCUAGUAAUCGCGGAUCAGCAUGCCGCGGUGAAUACGUUCCC
rnacentral:rRNA from 1 species